UCCUCUUUACAGAGGCAGUUUGUUUCGAGUUCCCGGCAUUACCCGCUGGUAACAAAACAUGAGGGUUGCGCUCGUUGCGGGACUUAACCCAACAUUUCACAACACGAGCUGACGACAGCCAUGCACCACCUGUGAAUCACCUUCGAAAGCGAGUGGCUUUCACCACCUUGCAGAUCCAUGUCAAGCCCUGGUAAGGUUCUUCGCGUUGCAUCGAAUUAAGCCACAUGCUCCACCGCUUGUGCGGGCCCCCGCCAAUUCCUUUGAGUUUCAACCUUGCGGCCGUAGUCCCCAGGCGGUUCACUUAAUGCGUUAGCUGCGGCACCGAGGCUUACGCCCCAACACCUAGUGAACAUCGUUUAUGGCUAAGACUAC
rnacentral:misc_RNA from 1 species